CGUCUUCUAUCAAGACUUUCGUA
rnacentral:miRNA from 1 species